rnacentral:rRNA from 1 species
UACAGAGGUCCCAAGCGUUGUUCGGAUUCACUGGGCGUAAAGGGUGCGCAGGUGGUCGGGUAAGUCUGAUGUGAAAUCCCGCAGCUCAACUGCGGAAUGGCAUUGGAUACUAUUUGGCUAGAGGGUUGGAGGGGGGACUGGAAUUCUCGGUGUAGCAGUGAAAUGCGUAGAUAUUCGCAAGAACACCAGUGGCGAAGGCGGCUCACUGGCCCGGUACUGACGCUGAGGUGCGAAAGCGUGGGGAGCAAACAGG